rnacentral:rRNA from 1 species
GCCUGCCCAAUGUUUCCAAUCAAUGGCCGCGGUAUUCUGACCGUGCGAAGGUAGCAUAAUCAUUAGUCUCUUAAUUAGAGGCUGGUAUGAACGGCUAAACGAGAAAAGAACUGUCUCUAGUAGAAAAAAUUGAAAUUCAUUUUUAAGUGAAAAAGCUUAAAUAUCUCUGAAGGACGAUAAGACCCUAUAGAGCUUUAUUUCCAAAAAAUCAAGUUUUAUUAGACGUCAUAAAAUUGGUCUUUAAAGAAAUUUUGUUGGGGCGACAGAAAGAUAAUAUCCAACUCUUCAUUAUUUAAACAGCUAUCGCUGAACUUUAGAUCCUUCGUGCAAGAUCAAAAGAACAAGUUACCUUAGGGAUAACAGCGUAAUCCUCUCCAAGAGUUCAUAUCGACGAAAGGGUUUGCGACCUCGAUGUUGGAUUAAGAAAUUGCUUAGGUGCAGCCGCUUAAGUAAAAGGUCUGU